UACGAAGGGGGCUAGCGUUGUUCGGAAUUACUGGGCGUAAAGCGUGCGCAGGCGGCUUCUCAAGUCAGGGGUGAAAGCCCAGAGCUCAACUCUGGAAUUGCCUUUGAGACUGAGUGGCUUGAGUACGAGAGAGGUGAGUGGAAUUCCCAGUGUAGAGGUGAAAUUCGUAGAUAUUGGGAAGAACACCGGUGGCGAAGGCGGCUCACUGGCUCGUAUCUGACGCUCAGGCGCGACAGCGUGGGGAUCAAACAGG
rnacentral:rRNA from 1 species